GAUUUUUACUCGUUUACUGUUUAGAUUGUUUAUAUAUGAUAUUUUCUUCCGAGCUAUUUAAUGUAUGUUAUGUAGAAUCCUGAGUCUUUUCAUUUAUGAAUGUAAACAUCUUCGAUGCAGCAGCUCAUAAUUGAUGAUGUGCCCAGCUUUGCCAUUAUGUAAUUGUUUAUUACAUUCUUCUUCCACUGUGUGAAGAAGAGUACGCCAAAUCAAGCAACUCAAACGAGGACUGAAAGACACUUUUGUUUGGCCUCUUCUAACUGAGAGGAAGGAUGUGGUAUUCUUCCCCAAGGAAUUGGAGGACACAUGCACUCUUGAGAUGCUGCUUUCACAUAUCUCCUGUCCUAGAGAGAGUGAUGAUGAAGAAGAUGAAGAAUACUCAGCUGAUAUAAAGGAACGAAUCACAGGGUAUUUAAAGCAGUUCAUUGAGACAGCAUCCAGCAAGGACUUAAAAAACCUUCUGAAGUUCUGGGUCGGAUGGGAGCAGAUGGAAGCAAAUAUGGCUGUGGAAAUUGUGAAAAGUGAUCUCCCAAAAUCCUCUACCUGCUUCUGUGUUCUCCGGCUACCAGGGCACUACAACAGUUUCCAGUCCUUCAACAAGGAUUUGAUGAUGUGCAUUGGCACUAGCAAUUAUGGUUUUGGCCAUGUGUAAUUUUUAGACACAUGUACAUGUUACAUUUGUUACACAGUGAUAUACACUUUUAUUAAAUGUCGUUGCUGCACUUAGGACCAAUGCUUUGUUCAAAUCCAGCUUACAAGUUUUUUUCUUUUUCGGAUUGCUUUGUACAUGAUGCUUGUUGAUCAUGUUGCUAUUUUUUGAUACUUUGCUAUAAGAUAUAGUACAUUAAGUAAUGGGUUAAUGUUAUGUACACGCAGUCACUUACACUGUAAGCUUGUAUCAUUCCACAAUGGUUUUUUUCAUGCAUGGGCUCAUGCAGUGGUAUAGAAAUGUUGAAUGUUAGUUGUUCCAUAGCUUGUCAGAAUUUGCUAAAUAUCGUCAUGUACUUUAUUCUUUUAAAGUAUUAGAAUUUAUGCAAAAUGUAUAUUUAAACGUUCAAUGGAAGUACAAAUAUUAAAAAUAAGUCUAUUCUUGAAUAAAAAAUCCAUAAUCA